GACGAACGCUGGCGGCGUGCUUAACACAUGCAAGUCGAACGGAGUGGCGAACGGGUGAGUAACACGUGGGUGACCUGCCCUGCACUUCGGGAUAAGCCUGGGCAACUGGGUCUAAUACCGGAUAGUGUGGGAUGGGACCGCGGCCAAUCAGCUGGUUGGUGGGGUAAUGGCCUCCUAAGGCGGCGACGGGUAGCCGGCCUGAGAGGGUGGACGGCCCCAUUGGGACUGAGACACGGCCCAGACGCGUACGGGAGGCAGCAGUGGGGAGUAUUGCAGAAUGGGCGGAAGCCGGAGGCAGCGACGCCGCGUGGGGGAUGACGGCCUUCGGGUUGUAAACUCCGUUCACCAUCGACGCGGUAGAUGGAGAAGAAGCACCGGCUAACUACGUGCCAGCAGCCGCGGUAAUUC
rnacentral:rRNA from 1 species